CAACGCUGCUGCCGCCGCCUCCUUCCCCAUCUUCGCAGCCUCGCGAUGACGCGAUCAAUGACGAUUUACGAUAACCACCACCCCCCCUCCUUCCUGGAGUGAGUGCACACAACACCUCGAUCAUCAGGGCCCAAAGAAACACGGGUUCCAGACGAGCAGUCAACCGCCAACACCAUGAGCGAUGUUCGGAGGCUGUCACUGUCAUGGCGGCGGAAAGUAAGAGCAUUCC